rnacentral:rRNA from 1 species
UACGUAGGGGGCAAGCGUUGUCCGGAAUCACUGGGCGUAAAGAGCGUGUAGGCGGUCCGGAAAGUCGGCUGUGAAAGGCCAGGGCUCAACCCUGGGAUGCCGGUCGAUACUGCCGGACUAGAGUUCGGUAGAGGCGAGUGGAAUUCCCGGUGUAGCGGUGAAAUGCGCAGAUAUCGGGAGGAACACCUAUGGCGAAGGCAGCUCGCUGGGACGUUACUGACGCUGAGGAGCGAAAGCGUGGGGAGCGAACAGG